GAAAAAAUGGAAGCAUCAGGAUAAAAGAGAAAAAGCAGAAACAACAAGAAGACAUGUGUAGACAAGGGAAAGUUCCUAUUGUGGAGACUGUGUAAACUUCCUGUGCACUGCGUGUACCAUUUGUACUAAAAACAAUGCCACUGAUUGAGUCUUAAUUUGGGCUCCUCUCAUAAUAGGCGAACGUGCUUCCCUGUGUUCUCAGUCCUGUGUUGAACAGCAGAAACAAUUUGUUUGGCCAUACUCUGCACUGCGAUGCGAGGCGGAAGUCAUUGUUUUGUCUGACAGGCGGCUUUGCUUGUUCUCCGUAACAACCUCCACCCUCCCCUCAUCCCCCCACUCCUGUCUGCAGCAGGAGCUCUGUGUAAUUACAUCCAACCCGUUCCCUCUCCCUUACGCUUGAUAUCACUGCUGACAUCGACGAGCACAGCCCCUCCUGUAUCUCUCUCUCCCUCUCUCUCUAUCUGUGCCGCCGCUAUUGGACAGCUCUCUCACCAGCAAGUGUGCAGUCCUGCCUCGUCUUCAGCUGUGUGUGUAGUGCAGCGGAGCAGAUGGAGAGGGAAAGGAAGAGGGUGAGACAGAGGCAGAGAUGAGAGAAAAGAGGAAAGAGCAUGGCAGACAGCUGGAGAGGGAACCGUUAUCCAUGUGAGCAGGAACGGAGGAUGGAGGAUGACUGAAUUAUACAGCGGGAUAUUUAUUCACAAGACAAACUGUUGGCUGAGUCUGUGAGGUCACACCUGUUCGAUUGCAGACAUGUGAAAGAUCAAUAGUCCAGCUAUCUGCCUGCUCACCUGACGCCGGAAAGCAUUUACUGGAAUCGUAAGCAGUCUUUUGAUAGUGCGGACUACUGUGAAAUCAACAGUGCCGGUAAACGCCGCAAGGCUCAUCUGUAUGGCGGAGUGGUGGUGUGUCACCCUAAAGAAGCUAAAAAGAAAAACAGAGCCCUGAGGAGUAAACAUUCAUCUCAGCAGUGAGAGGUACAAGCAGAAUUUCCUGCUGUUGUCUAAUAUAAAUAUUCAGCAAAACACUAUGUGCGCCGUGCCAAGGAACACUCCCCUUUCACAGUCACAAUACAUAUUGAUUUUUUCGCCUCACAAUACCUGAGGCAUUUAACUAGAUGAUGGGAAUACAGUGAGUCAAGCCCAACUGUGGACCCAUUCCAUAAUAACGAACUGAGGACAUCAUGGAAGCAACUUAGAAUCUAACAUCUCAGUCGACCCACAGUGGACACUGCAGU